UGGAGCUUGCGGUUUAAUUGGAUUCAACGCCGGAAAUCUUACCGGGACCGACAGCAAUAUGAAGGCCAGGCUGAAGACUUUGCCGGAUUAGCUGAGAGGUGGUGCAUGGCCGUCGUCAGUUCGUACUGUGAAGCAUCCUGUUAAGUCAGGCAACGAGCGAGACCCACGCCAACAGUUGCCAGCUCGUCCUCCGGGAUGGUGGGGACACUGUUGGGACCGCCUCUGCUAAAGAGGAGGAAGGAAUGGGCAACGGUAGGUCAGCAUGCCCCGAAUUAUCUGGGCUACACGCGGGCUACAAUGGGUGGGACAAUGGGUAUCGACACCGAAAGGUGAAGGCAAUCUCCUAAACCCAUCCGUAGUUCGGAUUGUGGGCUGCAACUCGCCCACAUGAAGCUGGAAUCUGUAGUAAUCGUGUCUCAAAAUGGCACGGUGAAUAUGUCCCUGCUCCUU
rnacentral:rRNA from 1 species